rnacentral:rRNA from 1 species
AUACGUAGGGGGCAAGCGUUAUCCGGAUUUACUGGGUGUAAAGGGAGCGUAGACGGUUUGGCAAGUCUGAUGUGAAAGCCCGGGGCUCAACCGCGGGACUGCAUUGGAAACUGUCAGACUUGAGUGCAGGAGAGGUAAGUGGAAUUCCUAGUGUAGUGGUGAAAUGCGUAGAUAUUAGGAGGAACACCGGUGGCGAAGGCGGCUUACUGGACUGUAACUGACGUUGAGGCUCGAAAGCGUGGGGAGCAAACAGGAUUAGAUACCCUGGUAGUCCACGCUGUAAACGAUGAAUACUAGGUGUUGGGAGACAAUAGUUUCUCGGUGCCGCAGCAAACGCAAUAAGUAUUCCACCUGGGGAGUACGUUCGCAAGAAUGAAACUCAAAUGAAUUGACGGGG